GAUGAACGCUGGCGGCGUGCCUAAUACAUGCAAGUCGAGCAAACAGACGAGGAGCUUGCUCCUCUGACGUUAGCGGCGGACGGGUGAGUAACACGUGGAUAACCUACCUAUAAGACUGGGAUAACUUCGGGAAACCGGAGCUAAUACCGGAUAAUAUAUUGAACCGCAUGGUUCAAUAGUGAAAGACGGUUUUGCUGUCACUUAUAGAUGGAUCCGCGCCGCAUUAGCUAGUUGGUAAGGUAACGGCUUACCAAGGCGACGAUGCGUAGCCGACCUGAGAGGGUGAUCGGCCACACUGGAACUGAGACACGGUCCAGACUCCUACGGGAGGCAGCAGUAGGGAAUCUUCCGCAAUGGGCGAAAGCCUGACGGAGCAACGCCGCGUGAGUGAUGAAGGUCUUCGGAUCGUAAAACUCUGUUAUUAGGGAAGAACAAAUGUGUAAGUAACUAUGCACGUCUUGACGGUACCUAAUCAGAAAGCCACGGCUAACUACGU
rnacentral:rRNA from 1 species